rnacentral:rRNA from 1 species
UACGUAGGGUGCGAGCGUUAAUCGGAAUUACUGGGCGUAAAGCGUGCGCAGGCGGUUCGCAAAGUCUGAUGUGAAAGCCCCGGGCUCAACCUGGGAACUGCAUUGGAAACUAACGGGCUCGAGUGUGGCAGAGGGGGGUGGGAAUUCCACGUGUAGCAGUGAAAUGCGUAGAGAUGUGGAGGAACACCGAUGGCGAAGGCAGCCCCCUGGGCUAACACUGACGCUCAGGCACGAAGGCGUGGGGAGCAAACAGG